rnacentral:misc_RNA from 1 species
CUUUUUUUUUUUAAUUUUAUUCUUCUCUACUAAACACAAUAACUAUUUGUACAAUUUCCUAAAACCCAUCUUAACAGGUCCUCAUCUCUCUCUUAAUUAAGUGAGAUAACGGAUAAUUUAGUUAGAUAAGGAGUAUUUUGCUAUUAUUUAUAUGAUUUAAUAGCUUCCUUAAUUACUGCACAAAAACCUUAAACAGCAGAUGAAAGUGGAUAAAGAGAGUAAUACAAUUCUUUUUAUCAAUAAAUCAUAGUCAUAUACCCAAAACUGCUAAUCAAAUGAUGGUUUCCAACUAUCAUGAAACUAUGGUAGAAAGACUAGUUCUACAUCUAAUGAAAAGCAAAAUAAAUAAAUAAAUAA